GGCUUGGUAGUCUAGUGGUCUAUGAUUCCCGCUUUGGGUUAUACUUGUAUGGCAUUGCGGGGGGUCCCGAGUUCAACUCUCGGCCAAGCCC